ensembl:snoRNA
CCUGCCCUCAGAGGCAUCUCCGAUGCGGCUGCUGUGUGCCGCUUGUGUCAUUAGGUGGCAGAAAGAGAGGCUCCUCUAGGCUCAGUGUUCUGGCCUGUGAACAUCUGGAUAAUUAAUAGUCUGACACG